UACGGAGGGUCCAAGCGUUAUCCGGAUUUAUUGGGUUUAAAGGGUCCGUAGGCGGGAGAAUAAGUCAGUGGUGAAAGCCUACAGCUCAACUGUAGAACUGCCAUUGAAACUGUUUUUCUUGAAUUUAGAUGAAGUGGGCGGAAUAUAUCAUGUAGCGGUGAAAUGCAUAGAUAUGAUAUAGAACACCGAUUGCGAAGGCA
rnacentral:rRNA from 1 species